CGCUCGUGGGAGUUGCCUGCGUAAUAUCAGCUAGUUGGUAGGGUAAUGGCCUACCAAGGCUACGACGCUUAGGGGAGCUGAGAGGCUCGACCCCCACCGAUGGAACUGCGACACGGUCCAUACUCCUACGGGAGGCUGCAGACGAGAAUAUUCCGCAAUGGGCGAAAGCCUGACGGAGCGACGCCGCGUGAUUGAUGAAGUGCUUCGGUACGUAAAGAUUCUUUUAUCGGGGACGAAGUUUAUUGACGGUACCCGAUGAAUAAGGGGCUCCUAACUCUGUG
rnacentral:rRNA from 1 species